rnacentral:rRNA from 1 species
UACGGAGGGUGCAAGCGUUAUUCGAGAUGACUGGGCGUAAAGCGCACGUAGGCGGUUUGCUAAGUCUGAUGUGAAAUCCCUGGACUCAAUCCAGGAAGUGCAUUGGAUACUGGCAGACUAGAGGACAGGAGAGGAGAGCGGAAUUCCAGGUGUAAAGGUGAAAUUCGUAGAUAUCUGGAGGAACAACAGAGGCGAAGGCGGCUCUCUGGACUGUCACUGACGCUGAGGUGCGAAAGCGUGGGGAGCAAACAGG